AAGUUUCUUUUCGCAGUGCAUAGGGUUUAGUCUACGUCCUCUCUCCGCUUACUUCAGCUAACCGUCGCUGCACGCGUACGCCGCGGCGGCGGCGGCAGUGGUAGAGGCGAGAAGCUUUGCCGGAAAUCGCUCCGCGUUGUUUCCUUUCAGUUACAACACCGGCGGUCUCUAAUUCGCUUGGUGCAGGUCGGGAACUGCUUCGCUCUGCGUACGGUUUGUGUUUGCCGGCGGCCGGCCUUUCUUCACCUUCCUUUUUGUUCUUCUCUGCUUCUAGCUUUUUUUUUUUUGUUUAAUUUCUUUGCGGCCGCGUGGUGUUGUUGUUCGGGAAAUGUUUGGGCGAAUUGGAUCCCGCCUUGCAUCAACUGAAUCGGAAACCGUGGUGAAGAUUGCUUGGAUUCUUGCCUUUCUCCAGAUCUCAGGAUACUUUCUCUUUUACGAUGAGUACAGACGCAUACACUAUGAUGAUGAGAUGACCAUCAUACUUGACAUGAUGCACAACACGACGACUGUUGUACCUCCGAACAUUCAUAUACAGUUAACUAGCCCGACCAGCAGGCCUAGGGGGUGUGCAAGCCCGCUUGGUGAGCUCAUGCUCUCAUGUGUGGGUUAUGUAUAAGAAAGUACUACACAUCCAAUUUAUCCGGACUGGAGGCCACCAGAUUGACGACGACAUCGUUUCAAAGACCAUGAAACCUUCUUUGAUAGUUGCAUUUAUUUUCAUAGAUCUUUUCAUAGAUGAGUUAGUUCAAUAGAUUGCUUUAUUUUAAUUUACUUUGAAUAUUCCCUUUGUAUUGUUUUAAGAUCCCUUUCGUAAACAUGACAUCAUUUUAUGAGUAGUUUUAAAUUAAUAUUUC